AUGUGCUGCACACAUCUCCACCGACACCACAAGCGGACUUGUCCAGGGAACCCCAUCCAGGAUACGAUGAACCUACUGCUCCAGAACUUGCUCUUCGGCAUUGAGCAAGAUAUGAUGCCAUGAAACCUAAUUACUAAAUUCACUCCAAACAGGUUUUGAAUCAGUUACUGGCUGCUCACCCUGUACUUCUAAGGAUUGUCUGGCUAUGUGCUAUGUCAUAAACUAGAAGUUCAUCAUGUGUUUGUGUUUCUGCUUUCACUCUCCCUCCUGAGGAAAUUGCUCUGUUUUUGUUAAUUCUAUACCAUGAUACAGUGGAAAUAAAAGUUAUGAGAGCCUACCUAUUUCCUUUUAGAGAGAGAGAGCAAAAAUAAAAUACUUUCC
rnacentral:lncRNA from 1 species